AGGUGCAGUCCUGCCUCGUGCAGCCUGUGGUCCUCCAGAAGAAGCACUCCUUCUUGUAGCUACAACAACAGGACGUGUGCUCUUACCUAAGUGCGGUGUGGGUUUUACUGGGGUACCGCACUGACAGAGGAGACCCCUCAAGCACCAUCCCCUGAAGACGAAACGCACAGGUAACGUCUGGGCUUGUCAUUACUUUACUCCCAGAUAAACUACAAACUACGAGAUAAACUACUUACAGACUCAUACAAGCUGCCAAGAUGCAAAUAUGUUCAAAUUAAUCUGAUUUCCCCCCUUCAAAGUAACCUAACCCAUCACUGGUGCAGCCAUUUGGUUUUAGCAGUUGCACUUAAAUUAGGAUAAUCAUGCAUCACGUGCAAUGAAUGUGUUUUAAAUGACUAAUAAAACACGCAGCCGAAGGUCCUUAGAGGUAAACACACAUACAUUGAAACUUUGGAUAGCUCUGUCACAGUCCUCCUUCCUCGUGUAGUUCACAAAGGCACACUGGUGUUCCAGCAGCAUCUUGAUGCUGUAGACUACCCCAACUCUGAAAUAGAGAAGAAGAAACGUGUGAGAACAACAUCUGGACAUCAUAUCCCUGCGGACACAUCAAUUUAAAAAAAUGAACAAUGGUCAAAAACUGAAAUAGCAAAUACACAAAAAAAAAACUGAGAAAAUGGCUAAAAACAUCUCCUUAGAUUUAAACUGUAAUCCAUAGUCACGGUUUACCUGCUGAACAGCUCGUGAAGUGUUGCAUAGGUGACAGUAGGAGCCAAGGACCCAACCCAGAUGGAAAUGAGGUCCCUUUAUGCAAAACAGCAAGCAAAUAUUAUACAUACACUGUACACUGUAAAACAAUUAUUGGACCUGAUGUUUUCGACCACUCUGUGCUCCACUGACGGUCACAGUAGAAAUCACUAGCUCCUAAUGACUGAACUCACGCUUUGACUGAACUCCUGGACAGAGGAGGAGUCGGCGACUGGGAUUUUGAUCUGCUUUGGCUCAAAGCUUCGCACUCUUUCACCUGCUGCGCCCUCGAACGGCUCGUCUGCUGGACCAUCCACUCUCCCUCUACCUCGUCUGUGUCCUGCUCCACAGGUUGUUUUGUGGGGGCGCUGCUGGCAGCUACAAAAGCUACAGUCAAACACUCAUCUUCACAGCUUUGUCAGAUCUUUUCUUUGCAUGUACCUGGAGGACUUCUAGAAAACAGCGCUUCCACGGCGUGCUCCAAGGUGGCGUGUGUCUUCAGGGCCUCCAGGCUCUCCUCCCUGCUGAAGCCCAUUUCCUGAAAAGACAUAAAUAUUCAUUAUUAUCAAAGCAGAAUACCAAAGACUUCAUUAGAAUCAGACUUUAAUGAUGGAGGAACCACACACUGCCUUCAUUACUUUAGAUGCUUUCAGUGUCAAGUGGUGUUUUAUAACUUGAAAUCCUUCAGUCUGUUGCACGUUUUCCUACCAUCAGAUGCAACAUCUGUGCUCGUUUCAGCUCUUGCUUGGCUUCAGCACUUGAACUGUCCAGUUUCAAAACCUCCGUGUAGACCAGCGAUGCCUCAUAGUAUUUCUGGAGAGGAGUCACAAACAGUCAAGGAUCGCACUACUCGCACAUUUCUGGGCUUAUACCUGAACCCAGGACUGUGAGAAUGAGAUCCAGGAGUGUGUGUUCACCUUGAGUCCACAGAGAGCUUUUCCUUUUCUAAAUAAACCUUUUGUCCAGCCUGGCUCCAUGCAGAGAGUGAGGUCGGCAUCCCUGAGGGCAUUCUCAUACUGCUGCAUCCUUUCGUAGCAGAGGGACCGAUUUCCAAACAACCUGAAACGGAGUAAACAGAAUUUAUUGGGUGAAAACUCACUGCUGCUUAAAGAAGGUCUGAAGUCAGUGAGGCCACUUUUCUUACUUAAACUCCUUUGGGUUGAAUUUAAUGGCGUCUGUGAAGCAUUUCACUGCGAUCUCAUACUGUCCUGAGGCUGCGAAGCGGUUUCCUGCAGCUGGAGGAGGAGGAGGCAUGAUCACGUUUGCUGUAGGUCAGAGUCUCUAUGAAAACGUUGAUGGAGGACGUCACUCACCAGCGAGGUCUCGGCUUCGUUUGGCACAUUCCUCAUUAGUGGGAUCCAGUGUUUUCUGCAACUAUUAGUGGCAGCGUGUGUCAAAGUGUACAUUACACCAGGUGUCAGAAUCCGCCAACAUUUUCUGACCCUUUCUUCAAACUGUUUUCAACAUGCUCACCUCCUCGUUUUUGGUUUCAUUUUUCUUUUCAACGUCCAUAUUCCCUGUAGUUUUUGGCUUUUCCUCUUUGUGUUGCUGAUUUUUUUUCUUUUUUUGCUCUUUUACUGGUGUCUGGUUAAACGUCUCCUCAGACACCAAUUUAGGGGUAGAAUCAUAGGAAUUAUUUACACCAGUCUCCUGUGGAUGAUGGAGGCUGCUUUAUUGUUUUAAAUUAGGAUGAAGAAUCAACACUAAAGCUUGUUGUAAUCUGAGUAGACCGCAGUUGUUAUAGUAGCAUAAAGCCCAUUAAGUUGUAAAUCUCUAGUCACACCUAGUUUAGUAACAGUAGGAAAUAAGCAAAAAGCAGUCAAACAAUGUUUGUGGAGCACAUUAAAACUUUUCCACAUACCUUUGGCUCCACAUCUUUCUUAUUCGGUUUCUCGGUUUCUUCUUUACUAUUAGAACAACUCUCAUCACCUCCAACAGCUUGUGGUACAUUCUGUGUUUUACUUAAUUCAUCUACAUUAGUUUCAAUUAUAGGAUUUUCUACUUGAUUUUCUGAAGUCUCUGUCUUCUCCUGAUCUUUCUCCUGAAAUAAAAAUCAAUAGUUAAAUUACAUUUUAUUUAUACAAUUACAUUGUAUUUGUUGUCAUUCAGAGCAACACUUACAGGUAAAUUCUCUUUAAUUGCAUUUUCCUUUUCCAGUCGCUUCCUUUCUUUUUUACGCUGCAACAAAAAAAAAAGGACAAUCUUACAUAAGCCAUGAUUAAAAAAACUACAGAAUUUAUUUGACAAUGAUUUAACACUGACCAUUUUUUUACGCUUGUUUCUCUCCGUUUUCCCUUUACGUCGUUCCUCUUCUGCAAUUAAUUCUUUGGCAUGUCGAUCAGCCUCCUGAAGGAAAAAAAUGAAUUAAAAACAGUGAUUUCAAUUUAUUAUUCAAAAUUUACAGUUCAGUCGGGACGUUAUACAUGUUUGAAAUUUGUAAUAAAUAACUAAUAGGGAAAGUGUUUGUGUAGAAUCAAGUCUGUCACCUCAUCUGUGAGUUGCCUUAUACGUGGAUGUGGGUUUAAAGGACUGUAUGCAGCCCUGCUAGGAUAAAAAUAAUCGUCGUCAUCAUCAUCAUCGCUGUCAUCAUCAUCAGAAUAGAAGAAAUCCUCCUGCAGUCUGGCACCAUAGUUCCUUAAGUAACUGAAACCU